rnacentral:rRNA from 1 species
AUACGGAGGAUCCGAGCGUUAUCCGGAUUUAUUGGGUUUAAAGGGUGCGCAGGCGGGAGAUUAAGUCGGCGGUGAAAUUUUGCAGCUCAACUGUAAAAGUGCCUUCGAAACUGGUUUCCUUGAGUGUAGAUGAAGUAGGCGGAAUUUGUGGUGUAGCGGUGAAAUGCAUAGAUAUCACGAGGAACUCCGAUUGCGCAGGCAGCUUACUAAACUACUACUGACGCUCAGGCACGAAGGCGUGGGGAUCAAACAGGAUUAGAUACCCUGGUAGUCCACGCAGUAAACGAUGAUUACUAGCUGUUUGCGAUUCAAUGUAAGCGGCUGAGCGAAAGCGUUAAGUAAUCCACCUGGGGAGUACGUUCGCAAGAAUGAAACUCAAAGGAAUUGACGGGG